GUUGGUUUCUUUGUUCGGUUUUGGGU
rnacentral:piRNA from 1 species